rnacentral:rRNA from 2 species
UUUGACUGGGGCGGUCUCCUCCUAAAGAGUAACGGAGGAGCACGAAGGUUGGCUAAUCCUGGUCGGACAUCAGGAGGUUAGUGCAAUGGCAUAAGCCAGCUUGACUGCGAGCGUGACGGCGCGAGCAGGUGCGAAAGCAGGUCAUAGUGAUCCGGUGGUUCUGAAUGGAAGGGCCAUCGCUCAACGGAUAAAAGGUACUCCGGGGAUAACAGGCUGAUACCGCCCAAGAGUUCAUAUCGACGGCGGUGUUUGGCACCUCGAUGUCGGCUCAUCACAUCCUGGGGCUGAAGUAGGUCCCAAGGGUAUGGCUGUUCGCCAUUUAAAGUGGUACGCGAGCUGGGUUUAGAACGUCGUGAGACAGUUCGGUCCCUAUCUGCCGUGGGCGCUGGAGAACUGAGGGGGGCUGCUCCUAGUACGAGAGGACCGGAGUGGACGCAUCACUGGUGUUCGGGUUGUCAUGCCAAUGGCACUGCCCGGUAGCUAAAUGCGGAAGAGAUAAGUGCUGAAAGCAUCUAAGCACGAAACUUGCCCCGAGAUGAGUUCUCCCUGAGACUUUAGGUCUCCUGAAGGAACGUUGAAGACGACGACGUUGAUAGGCCGGGUGUGUAAGCGCAGCGAUGCGUUGAGCUAACCGGUACUAAUGAACCGUGAGGCUUAACCUUACA